UACGUAGGGUGCAAGCGUUGUCCGGAAUUAUUGGGCGUAAAGAGCGCGUAGGCGGCCCUGUAAGUCCGCUGUGAAAGUCAAGGGCUCAACCCUUGAAUGCCGGUGGAUACUGCAGGGCUAGAGUCCGGAAGAGGCGAGUGGAAUUCCUGGUGUAGCGGUGAAAUGCGCAGAUAUCAGGAGGAACACCAGUGGCGAAGGCGGAUCUCUGGGCCUGUCCUGACGCUCAGGAGCGAAAGCGUGGGUAGCAAACAGG
rnacentral:rRNA from 1 species